GAGAAUGAGAGAAAGAAGAGGACAGGGAGAGCACAGAGAGGAAAACUGCAGAAAACCACAGGGAAAGUACGGUACAGACUCAGAUCUUUUCAUUUUUAAAAAACUUCUAGUUUUUCUUCCCCCCAUCACUCCCGACUCCUGCCUAACUGGGUCGUAUCGGGGACGUUUGGCAUGGCGCUCUCGCUUUUGUUCCUUUUAACUUCGUAGUCCCUUUUCGACUCUGCCCGCCGAUUACAGCGCUCAGAAGUCUUCCUGAUAACGUCCGAGGGCAGCAGGCUCUGCAGACGGUAUUACCAACGGGCUAGAUUUUUUUUUUAAGUGAUACUUUCUUCCCGGUGCAGAUUCGGGACCCCUGGACCCUUGUUGUCAAUAUUCAUUUUUUUUCCAGGACAAGAAGAGACCAGCUUAACUCAGAGCACAUUCCCUCAAAGCUGUGCAAAGGGGUCACUCCGGAGAAUCUUUGGGGGUCGUGGCGGAAUCAAGAAGUUGGAAGUGGGGAAAGAGGUGUUUGGACAUUUGAUGUCCGAUGUAGCUAAGGGGGUGUGUAUGGGGUGUGUGUGUGUGUGUGUGUGUGUGUGUGUGUGUGUGCGCGCGCGCGCGCGCGACUGCUGUGCGCCUCCAAAGUGGAUCUUACUUGGAGCUGGGAAGAACGGGAGGGAAAGAAAGGAGGAAAGAAAAAAGAGUGUAAACAGAGAUGUUGUCUAGUAAGUAGUGGCUGGUGCUCCCUGCUCAGCCUAGUUGUGAUCUUCCGAGGCGCAGCGGCCCGGUGUGAAAUAAAGGGCUAAUGGUUGUGAUAAUUACAACGGGUGAUUUUGCUGGGUAGAGAAGAUAGGGCCGGCUCCAAAGGAACUUUUGCCAAAAAGACAAGGAAGAUUGUGGAGGAAGGAAGGUAACUCCCCCUCACCGUUUGUGUGGAAACUAGUUUUGGCGGGUGUCUGCUACAGACGUUGGCCAGUGCAGCACCCGGCUUUACCUCUGCGAGGCCGGUUUCUCAGCGGCAGUGCGUCAAUCACGCGGAGCCUGGAGCUGGGGGCGGAGCUAUGGUCAACCCUAGCGCGCUGCACCGCGACUCCAGCCGCCCCCGCAUCCUCUCAGCUUGCCGGGGCUCCCUCCGCUGGGAGCGUGCCCUCUCCCCAACUGCUCGCUUUCGCCGUGAUUCACGGUCCUUAGCCCUCAAAACCGAAAACACCCUGUUCUUCAACAGCCGCCUCCCUUCCCAACUCUGAACACAUUCUGGAAAUUAGAAAGUAGUGUAUGCUCCGCGCGCGGCUUUGACCAGACUUUCCCGCGGGGGCGGCGGGUGGGGGGGAGUGGAUGGAGUGGAUGGGAGUGGUUAGGAGGAGUAAAGUGUAAGAGUGUGUGUGUGUGUGUGUGUGUGUGUGUAGAUUUAGAGAAAGAAGGAAAGGCGGGUGGGAGGGUUCUUUUUUGGCCCCCUUUGCAUCUUUUCUGCUUCACUGUAAGCUUUUGGGCAACACAAACUAGACUAAGAUUGCAGCCUGCAGAGACUUCAAGUGGAGUCGGAGAAAUUUGGCCUCCUUUUAAUAGGGCUGGGGAAUGAGCUCCGGAGGUCAAUAAAGCCCUCCAAAAAUGAUGAAUGAUUGAGCACCUGUGAUGAUGAUAGUGAUUACCAGAGCAAUUAAACAGUUUGAUUAAAUGAGCCAUCAUAACAAUGAUGUCUGAGGGAACCGGGCCUCACGUAUAAAGAAAGGCAGUUCCGAGGGGCUGGCAGAGUCGAGGGUAGGGCAACACCAAGGAGAGAGGGGCUGUGGUUCGCGAGGUUUUUGGGCAGGUCGUCAGAGCACCGGCCUUAGGUUCCUGGUGCUUCAGGGAGGACAGUAUAGCCUAGGUUUUCCGCCACUUUGCCCGGCUUCAAGCUUGGAAGAGAGUGAACGGUUAUGAAAUCUGAAAAUUGGGGAGAGGCGAGUGUCUCUCCUUCCUCCCCCCCCUCUCUCUUUUUCCCCUAGAAGAACUCCAAGAUUAAAAAUAUCCUCGUUUGAUGCUGAGUUGCUUAUCGACAUGUAAGAAAAGGAUUCCCUUCAAGUCUGAUAGGAAAGACAGAACCACUUCUGGACUAGCUGUAAGGAUGUGUUUUUGUUUCCAUUACCCUGAAGCACUUUUCAUAAACCUUUUAAUUUAUUUAAAUAAGUCUAUUUGGACAUUAGAAGAAGCUAACACACAAAGAUAGCUUGGCUUUAUACCAUCAAUCACAGCCUUGAAAAGCAAAACCAAAAAUUCCAAAUCCCGAAGCUAGCAGAGAAGUUUUCCGAAACCCAUCUUUGCCUCAACGAUAUAAAGUGCAAAGCAAAAGAAAGUUCGCAACUUGCAUCUGCCCGUCUUCCCAUACGCGUUUCUAAACAUCUUCCAGUCCGUGUUGCGCGUUACCUCCCUCCUGCCACACACUAGAAGGCAGAGGCAUCGAGGGAUCGCCCCCUGAGAGCUGUGUUUACUUAGGUUUUUUUUAAUCUCUCCGCCAUGUAUGACAAGUGUUACUUCAAGAAAUUCAUCAGCCUUCUACAGAUACUUCCAGUUUUGCUGUAAUGAUCUGCAGAAGAGAACUGCCAUCGCUUUCUCACACCCCAAGGUGUUGCAGGAACUCAGAGAGAGAGAGCGAGAGAGAGAGGGGAGAGUGGCUGAAACGCUUAAUUACCGUGGGGGAGGGAGGGGCGCCUACCGAGUUCCGAAGGCGGGGGAGUGAGGAAGAAAGGUCCUUUAUCCUGCUGGUACCUGGAGGAAGAUCCCAGUCGGCUCUCUGCGAAUAUUUGGAAAAGGUAUGGUUGCUUUUUUUUUUUUUUUAAUGCCUUUGGGGAGAAGUGAUACCCUUGUGUAACAAUUAGCUCAGACAAUAAAAAUAAUUGGAAAAUCA